CUGAAGCAUCAAUACGUUUUUCGCAACUGUUGAAUAAGUAAUUAAAAGUGAUUAAUAAAGGUCUGUUAAGUUAGUUUCGACAUGGGAAAAAGCGCUCAAAAUCACGAUCUCGAUCAAGAUCUCGAUCACGAGAUUCGAAGCGCAGGAAAGACGACAAACUGGACAAACUCAGUUCUCGCAUGGAUAACCUCACAAAAAUGGUUGAGGCGUUGGUGGAAGUUCAAAAAGAACAUUUUUCACCAACUAGUACUAACAUAGUACCGAGUACUGUAGAGAUUAUUGAAGAUAAGCUUAAUUAUGCUUUUAAUUAUGCUUUUAAUUAUAAGAAAUUACCUUAACUUUCCACAUGAAAGUUGGGAGGUGUUUGCCCACACGGCAUCACCAGGUCCAUACGACCAUGUCAACUUGUGAUUGAGUUCAACAAGAACGAAAAUGUCACCAGGUCCAUACGACCAUGUCAAUUUGUGAUUGAGUUCAAUAAGAACGAAAAUAUCACCAGGUCCAUACGACCAUGCCAAUUUGUGACUGAGUUCAACAAGAACGCAAGUAUCACAAGUGCACAAAAAGUACCUUGCUAAUUUUUUAUUUUGUAAUUCACAGAUGUUGAAAGUAAUGAAGAAAAUGAUCCUGAUAUCGGAAAUACCGUGAAGGAUACGUAAGAGGCUGAACAGGUCGAGAGUGACGAAAAAGACCAAGCGGGGCAAGAACCAGCUAAAGACUUCAUCUUGAAGGUCUUAGGAAUGCAUCCUGACGACUGUACGUUUAAAGACGUAAAAUAUCAUCCAGAAUUAAAAAAUACAUGGUUGAAGUGGAAAACUGAGGGUCUUCCAGAGAAGAAUAAGAAAGAGAUAUUGGAAGCCUACAAUAGAAAGGAUCGAAUUUCCAAAAUUGAACCCGGAGAUAGUACCGUUACUUGCCGACACAGCAAAAAAGCGAGAUUAGCAUUUUGCUGAGACUCAGAAUUGUGUUAGUACGGCUAUAUCUGCUCUGGGUGCCGCUGUCUCCAUGUUGUUAGAACAACCUGAAGAAAGAGUUGACGAGGAUCUCCUUACCGACUACAUAAGUCAUGCCGGUCAGAUCCUCAUAGACGUCUUUUACUAACAGUCGGUAGCCAGGAAGUCGUUCAUAACUCCGCUUUGAAACAAGAACAUCAAGCCGAUAGUCGGCUCGAUGUUAUCAAAUGAAUGGCUAUACGGUGACGACUUCAAGAACAAAGUCAAUGAUGUUAAGGAAAUAGAAAAGGCAUGCGCGAAUAUUAAAGAAAGUCCUGCAGCUAAAAUAUCUUCUAAAUCACGAGACCAGGGAAACGGAAAACGCCCACCUGCGAAUUACCGUCAGGUGGGCCAGAGCCAGAAAUAUCGGGCCUUGAAGUUCAAACAGAAAUCACACACGACGUAUCAGCGUCCGUCCAAGUCAACAUGCCAUUAUGUCAAUGUCAUCAUAUGUCAAUAAAACGUAAAAUAAUU